UGAUACCAUUAAGAUAAGUACUAUAGGUCUCAAUGUUAGGCCUAUUACCCGGCUAGAUAAUGUACUGUUUCAGAUGAUACUACCAGGCUAAGAAAUUGAGUGUUGUGUAGUGCAGAUAGACGUGCACAGAAUGUAUUGAUACGAUCAGGUUAAGUAUUGUACCUUUUCAGAUAGUGUGGCAAAAAUUCUGAUCGGGUUUUCCAGAAAUCCAGGUUGGAUAAUUCCGGGAUUCGGAAGGGAAUAAGUAGGAAAUCCAGGUUGGAUAAUUCCGGGAUUCGGAAGGGAAUAAGUAGGAAAUCCAGGUUGAAUAAUUCCGGGAUUCGGAAGGGAAUAAGUAGGAAAUCCAGGUUGGAUAAUUCCGGGAUUCGGAAGGGAAUAAGUAGGAAAUCCAGAAUCCUCCAACAAGGACUUCUGGAAAAUAAAAAACAUGUUGGGAAACCCUAGUUUCAGAUGUAUUGUUAAUACCAGGCUAUGUUCUGUACUGUUUCAGAUGUAUUGUUAAUACCAGGCUAUGUUCUGUACUGUUUCAGAUGUAUUGUUAAUACCAGGCUAUGUUCUGUACUGUUUCAGAUGUAUUGUUAAUACCAGGCUAUGUUCUGUACUGUUUCAGAUGUAUUGUUAAUACCAGGCUAAGAACUGUCUGGGUGACACUGCUUCUCCAACACGCUUCUCCUUCCUUCCACUGUGCAUUAUUCAAUCAACACAAUUUAUUAUAGAGACAAAAUAAUGCUCAGAAACAUGAUUUAUUAUAGAGACAAAACAAUGCUUAGAAACAUGAUUUCUCAUAGCAACAAAACAAUGCUUAGAAACAUGAUUUCUCAUAGCAACAGAACAAUGCUUAGAAACAUGAUUUCUCAUAGCAACAGAACAAUACUUAGAAACAUGAUUUCUCAUAGCAACAAAACAAUGCUUAGAAUCAUGAUUUCUCAUAGCAACAGAACAAUGCUUAGAAACAUGAUUUCUCAUAGCAACAAAAUAAUGCUUAGAAACAUACUGGUACUUGACUCCCCUCUGCCUGUCUCUCUGUUUCUGUAUGUACCCCCAUUCCCUGUGCUUGAGCUAAAGCAUGCGUACUACUACUAAUAAUGCUGUCAGGUGUCUUACUAAAGGGAUCUAUAACUUAUCUACAGCUGUAUAUGCCAUCUUGAAACGCCAAAUGCUGCCUUAUGGUUUUUCCUUAAUGCUCCAGUUCACAGUUUGGUUCCAGAAGAGCACUUCACCAUUUCACCUAAAGGAGAUUGGGACACAUGAAGAAAAAGUCAAGCCAUUGUCCCGUUAUUCUGUCACAACACUUUGCUUUGUUGCAAUGUUAUUUAGUUGUUGUUUAGUUCAUCACACAAGAAGAUUGUGUGCAUACUAACAGGUUAUGAGCAGAAACCCCAUUGUGUGCAUACUAACAGGUUAUGAGCAGAAACCCCAUUGUGUGCAUACUAACAGGUUAUGAGCAGAAACCCCAUUGUGUGCAUACUAACAGGUUAUGAGCAGAAACCCCAUUGUGUGCAUACUAACAGGUUAUGAGCAGAAACCCCAUUGUGUGCAUACUAACAGGUUAUGAGCAGAAACCCCAUUGUGUGCAUACUAACAGGUUAUGAGCAGAAACCCCAUUGUGUGCAUACUAACAGGUUAUGAGCAGAAACCCCAUUGUGUGCAUACUAACAGGUUAUGAGCAGAAACCCCAUUGUGUGCAUACUAACAGGUUAUGAGCAGAAACCCCAUUGUGUGCAUACUAACAGGUUAUGAGCAGAAACCCCAUUGUGUGCAUACUAACAGGUUAUGAGCAGAAACCCCAUUGUGUGCAUACUAACAGGUUAUGAGCAGAAACCCCAUUGUGUGCAUACUAACAGGUUAUGAGCAGAAACCCCAUUGUGUGCAUACUAACAGGUUAUGUGCAGAAACCCCAUUGUGUGCAUACUAACAGGUUAUGAGCAGAAACCCCAUUGUGUGCAUACUAACAGGUUAUGAGCAGAAACCCCAUUGUGUGCAUACUAACAGGUUAUGAGCAGAAACCCCAUUGUGUGCAUACUAACAGGUUAUGAGCAGAAACCCCAUUGUGUGCAUACUAACAGGUUAUGAGCAGAAACCCCAUUGUGUGCAUACUAACAGGUUAUGAGCAGAAACCCCAUUGUGUGCAUACUAACAGGUUAUGAGCAGAAACCCCAUUGUGUGCAUACUAACAGGUUAUGAGCAGAAACCCCAUUGUGUGCAUACUAACAGGUUAUGAGCAGAAACCCCAUUGUGUGCAUACUAACAGGUUAUGAGCAGAAACCCCAUUGUGUGCAUACUAACAGGUUAUGAGCAGAAACCCCAUUGUGUGCAUACUAACAGGUUAUGAGCAGAAACCCCAUUGUGUGCAUACUAACAGGUUAUGAGCAGAAACCCCAUUGU